rnacentral:lncRNA from 1 species
CGCAAGAAUUCCACAGAAUGACACUUGAGACGCAGACUGGGUUGUAACUUAGCUUUCCUUUAUUGCAAAACAAUAAGGAAAAGACACACAUCUAGAUUAGCUCUAAGAUGUGGGAAGUCCCUAAAGUUCCUAAUGUUGAGAGACGAGGGGUAAUGGAGACUACAGAGCAGCAGGCUCUUCCAAGCUGAGGUGGCAGCUUUUGCAAAUCCCUGAACGAAGAGAAAGCUUGGUCAGAUUAGGCAAUGAUUAACACCACAAAGGUACAACAAAAUGGAGCUGCCAAGGUUGACAAGACAGAAGGCCGAAGAAGUCAGCAGAAGCGGCAUCUUAAGACAAUCAUUGUCGCAGUAAUUUAGCGUGCACCUGCAUCACCUGGAGGGCUUCUUGAAACCCAGAGCCCUGGGGCCAACCCCCAGGGUUUCUGAUUUAAUGCAUCUGGGGUGGGGCAUGAGCAUUAGGCUACAAGGUUCCAGGAGAUGCUGAUGCUGUUGGUUCCCCGGACUUUGAAAAUCACUGUUUUCAGAUCUUCGUCGUCCUCAAUGCCUUGGAUAAUGGAAAGAAAUGGAAGGCUUCUGGAGGUCCAUUGGCCUAAUGUAGACACAUGACCCCAAAUCAACCACAAGAAGGCUGAAGACUAGAGGAGUCCGUGGAAUAUUUGGUACAUUCCUCCAGGAAAGGAUCCUGAGAUGUGUUUCUAAAGGCCCCGGCUGCCACCAGGAUGCUUAACCGACUGAGCCACCCAGGCGCCCCCAGUAAGUCUAAUUUUUUACUAAGAGGACGUAUGUUUUGCAGAUUUUAACAUGUUCGUAUCUAUCCUUGCCUUUGUCCUUUUUAUGACAACCCUCAACUGUGCCCAUCAUCCCACGUCUGUCUCCCCCAAGCAAAUCGGAGUGCCAGAGUUAUAAGACCAUUCUUAUAUAGUCUUCUUAUAUUCCGGGGUAUGCUGGUUGUAUUCAUUAUUUAAGGAAUUCGUUACCAAAUGUCAGUGCUUUAUUGCAAACAUA